AGAGCAGGUAAAACCCUGUAGUCGAAAGUUCGUUCCCUCCUGAGUGGAUCCUGAGUACGGGGAACACGUGAAAUUCCGUCGGAAUCCGGGAGGACCAUCUCCCAAGGCUAAAUACUACCUAGUGACCGAUAGUGAACCAGUACCGUGAGGAAAGGUGAAAAGCACCCCGGAAGGGGAGUGAAAGAGAUCCUGAAACCGUGUGCCUACAAGUAGUUAGAGCCCGUUAAUGGGUGAUAGCGUGCCUUUUGUAGAAUGAACCGGCGAGUUACGAUUACGUGCGAGGUUAAGCUUUAGAAGGCGGAGCCGCAGCGAAAGCGAGUCUGAAUAGGGCGAAUUAGUACGUGGUCGUAGACCCGAAACCAGGUGAUCUACCCAUGUCCAGGGUGAAGGUAAGGUAACACUUACUGGAGGCCCGAACCCACGCACGUUGAAAAGUGCGGGGAUGAGGUGUGGGUAGCGGAGAAAUUCCAAUCGAACUUGGAGAUAGCUGGUUCUCUCCGAAAUAGCUUUAGGGCUAGCCUCGUGAUGAGAAUACUGGAGGUAGAGCACUGUUUGGACUAGGGGGCCAUCCCGGUUUACCGAAUUCAGACAAACUCCGAAUGCCAGAUAUUUAUACACGGGAGUCAGACUGCGAGUGAUAAGAUCCGUAGUCAAAAGGGAAACAGCCCAGACCACCAGCUAAGGUCCCAAAGUAAUCGUUAAGUGGAAAAGGAUGUGGCGUUGCACAGACAACCAGGAUGUUGGCUUAGAAGCAGCCAUCAUUUAAAGAGUGCGUAAUAGCUCACUGGUCGAGUGACGCUGCGCCGAAAAUGUAUCGGGGCUAAACGAUUCACCGAAGCUGUGGAUUGACAUCUACGAUGUCAGUGGUAGGAGAGCGUUCUAAGUGCGUUGAAGUCAGACCGGAAGGACUGGUGGAGCGCUUAGAAGUGAGAAUGCCGGUAUGAGUAGCGAAAGACGGGUGAGAAUCCCGUCCACCGUAUGACUAAGGUUUCCUGAGGAAGGCUCGUCCGCUCAGGGUUAGUCGGGACCUAAGCCGAGGCCGAUAGGCGUAGGCGAUGGACAACAGGUUGAUAUUCCUGUACCACCUCCUCACCGUUUGAGAAAUGGGGGGACGCAGUAGGAUAGGGUAAGCGCGCUGUUGGUUAUGCGCGUCCAAGCAGUAAGGCGUGUGUGUAGGCAAAUCCGCACACUGUAACGUUGAGCUGUGAUGGCGAGUCCGUAUGGACGAAGUUCCUGAUUUCACACUGCCAAGAAAAGCCUCUAUCGAGGUGAGAGGUGCCCGUACCGCAAACCGACACAGGUAGUCGAGGAGAGAAUCCUAAGGUGUGCGAGAGAACUCUCGUUAAGGAACUCGGCAAAAUGACCCCGUAACUUCGGGAGAAGGGGUGCUCUUGAGCGUGCAAGCGCAUGAGAGCCGCAGUGAAUAGGCCCAGGCGACUGUUUAGCAAAAACACAGGUCUCUGCAAAACCGUAAGGUGACGUAUAGGGGCUGACGCCUGCCCGGUGCUGGAAGGUUAAGAGGAGUGGUUAGCGCAAGCGAAGCUGCGAAUUGAAGCCCCAGUAAACGGCGGCCGUAACUAUAACGGUCCUAAGGUAGCGAAAUUCCUUGUCGGGUAAGUUCCGACCCGCACGAAAGGCGUAACGAUCUGGGCACUGUCUCAACGAGAGACUCGGUGAAAUUAUAGUACCUGUGAAGAUGCAGGUUACCCGCGACAGGACGGAAAGACCCCGUGGAGCUUUACUGUAGCCUGAUAUUGAAUUUUGGUACAACUUGUACAGGAUAGGUAGGAGCCAGAGAUCUCGGAGCGCCAGCUUCGAAGGAGGCGUCGGUGGGAUACUACCCUGGUUGUAUUGAAAUUCUAACCCAUGCCCCUUAGCGGGGCAGGAGACAGUGUCAGGCGGACAGUUUGACUGGGGCGGUCGCCUCCUAAAAGGUAACGGAGGCGCCCAAAGGUUCCCUCAGAAUGGUUGGAAAUCAUUCGUAGAGUGUAAAGGCACAAGGGAGCUUGACUGCGAGACCUACAAGUCGAGCAGGGUCGAAAGACGGGCUUAGUGAUCCGGUGGUUCCGCAUGGAAGGGCCAUCGCUCAACGGAUAAAAGCUACCCCGGGGAUAACAGGCUUAUCUCCCCCAAGAGUCCACAUCGACGGGGAGGUUUGGCACCUCGAUGUCGGCUCAUCGCAUCCUGGGGCUGUAGUCGGUCCCAAGGGUUGGGCUGUUCGCCCAUUAAAGCGGUACGCGAGCUGGGUUCAGAACGUCGUGAGACAGUUCGGUCCCUAUCCGUCGUGGGCGUAGGAAAUUUGAGAGGAGCUGUCCUUAGUACGAGAGGACCGGGAUGGACACACCGCUGGUGUACCAGUUGUCUUGCCAAAGGCAUCGCUGGGUAGCUAUGUGUGGACGGGAUAAGUGCUGAAAGCAUCUAAGCAUGAAGCCCCCCUCAAGAUGAGAUUUCCCAUUACGUAAGUAAGUAAGAUCCCUCAAAGACGAUGAGGUAGAUAGGUUCGAGGUGGAAGUGUGGUGACACAUGGAGCUGACGAAUACUAAUCGAUCGAGGACUUAACCAAAA
rnacentral:rRNA from 1 species